rnacentral:lncRNA from 1 species
GCUCAAUUAACGCACGCGCGGACAGGGCACCGGAGGCGGAGCUGGGGGGGUGGCUCCUGUCGCCCGCCCUUUUUCUUCGCUCAGAUUUGCCUUUUAUAGCCUGGUUGAUAUUUAACCCCUAGAAGAUGUAGGAGCCAUUAUCAGCAAUGCUGGGCCGAGCACGGGACAGCAGACUGGUCGGAGGUCCCCGCCCCGGAAAGUGCAAGAGACAUGUUGCAGGGAGCCAGGUAGCAGGCACAGACAUCCAGGGCUCUGUGGGCCAGAAAUGCCAGGCAGAGAUGCCCGAGGAAUGCCACCUUUCCAGGCUGGGAAGUGCAAGCUCAGGGCCGUGCAUCAGGAGGCCAGCCUGGGAGACCAGCCAAGACCCAGUGGCUGAACCAAGCAAACCCAGCCCUCCAACUACCUGGGCCACGGAAGCCAGGAUGGCCAGGCAGACAACAGAGUACAGAACACAAUCCUCUGCCGAUCGUGGUGUCCAUCUGUCAUCCCAGUACUCAGGAGGCUGAGCCAGGACGACCACAGGAGUUUGAGGUCAGCCUGGGCUACACAGUAAGCCCCUGCCUCAAAAAUAA